CCCAGACUCCUACGGGAGGCAGCAGUGGGGAAUAUUGCACAAUGGGGGAAACCCUGAUGCAGCGACGCCGCGUGAGCGAAGAAGUAUUUCGGUAUGUAAAGCUCUAUCAGCAGGGAAGAAAAAAAUGACGGUACCUGAAGAAGAAGCCCCGGCUAACUACGUGCCAGCAGCCGCGGUAAUACGUAGGGGGCAAGCGUUAUCCGGAUUUACUGGGUGUAAAGGGGGCGCAGACGGCGAUGCAAGCCAGGAGUGAAAGCCCGGGGCCCAACCCCGGGACUGCUCUUGGAACUGCGUGGCUGGAGUGCAGGAGGGGCAGGCGGAAUUCCUGGUGUAGCGGUGAAAUGCGUAGAUAUCAGGAGGAACACCGGUGGCGAAGGCGGCCUGCUGGACUGCAACUGACGUUGAGGCCCGAAAGCGUGGGGAGCAAACAGGAUUAGAUACCCUCGUAGCG
rnacentral:rRNA from 1 species